rnacentral:rRNA from 1 species
AUUGAACGCUGGCGGCAGGCCUAACACAUGCAAGUCGAGCGGAUGAAGGGAGCUUGCUCCUGGAUUCAGCGGCGGACGGGUGAGUAAUGCCUAUGAAUCUGCCUGGUAGUGGGGGAUAACGUCCGGAAACGGGCGCUAAUACCGCAUACGUCCUGAGGGAGAAAGUGGGGGAUCUUCGGACCUCACGCUAUCAGAUGAGCCUAGGUCGGAUUAGCUAGUUGGUGGGGUAAAGGCCUACCAAGGCGACGAUCCGUAACUGGUCUGAGAGGAUGAUCAGUCACACUGGAACUGAGACACGGUCCAGACUCCUACGGGAGGCAGCAGUGGGGAAUAUUGGACACUGGGCGAAAGCCUGAUCCAGCCAUGCCGCGUGUGUGAAGAAGGUCUUCGGAUUGUAAAGCACUUUAAGUUGGGAGGAAGGGCAGUAAGUUAAUACCUUGCUGUUUUGACGUUACCAACAGAAUAAGCACCGGCUAACUUCGUG